UACGAAGGGGGCUAGCGUUGCUCGGAAUCACUGGGCGUAAAGCGCACGUAGGCGGGUCCUUAAGUCAGGGGUGAAAUCCCGGAGCUCAACUCCGGAACUGCCUUUGAUACUGGGGAUCUUGAGUCCGGAAGAGGUGAGUGGAACUCCGAGUGUAGAGGUGAAAUUCGUAGAUAUUCGGAAGAACACCAGUGGCGAAGGCGGCUCACUGGUCCGGUACUGACGCUGAGGUGCGAAAGCGUGGGGGGCAAACAGG
rnacentral:rRNA from 1 species